rnacentral:tRNA from 1 species
GGACGCAUACGGACGAAAGAGUCCUCUUAAUCAGCGGGUCCUAGGUUCGAGCCCUAGUGCGUCCACCA